GGUGGCAAGGGAUGAAUGUUAUCUUAUCCUACACUCUGAUUAAACCGUGUAGAUUCAAAAUUUUCGCUUAUUGAUAUUCUGAUGCCAUU
rfam:Gossypium raimondii Chr10_contig_21, whole genome shotgun sequence.